AUGGAGGACGCCUACAUCACGGCCUGCCUCGCCGUAGCUCUCGUGUCGCUGCUCAUCGUGAUUGCGGGCCGCCGGCGCUGGGGGGCGCGUGGCGAUGGCCUGCGCAUGGCGCCCGGGCCGUGGCAGCUGCCGGUGAUCGGCAGCCUGCACCACCUCGUCCUGGCCGGGCAGCUCCCUCACCGCGCGAUGCGCGACCUGGCGCGGCGCUACGGGCCGGCCGUGAUGCUGCAGCUCGGCCAGGUUCCCACGCUGGUGGUGUCCUCCCGGGAGGGCGCGCGCGAGGUGAUGAAGAAUCACGACACCAUGUUCGCGACGCGGCCGCUGAGCACCACCAUGCGCGUGCUCUCCUACGGCGGCCAGGACAUCGUCUUCGCGCCCUACGGGGAGUACUGGCGCCAGCUCCGGAAGAUCGCCGUGUCCGAGCUCUUCACCGCGCGCCGCGUCCUCUCGUUCCGCGCCAUCCGUGAGGAGGAGGUCGCCACAGCUCUCCGCGUCGUCGGUGAGGCUGCGGCGGCGACGCGCCCCGUGGAGAUGCGCGGUGUGCUGUCCACGCUCGUGACGGACAGCACGGCGCGCGCCGUGAUAGGCGACCGGUGCAAGGAGCGCGACGCGUUCCUCCGGGAGCUCGAUCGCAUCGUGCAGCUCGCGUCAGGGUUCAACCUGGCCGACAUGUGGCCAUCGUCCCGGAUCGCCGCGUGGUUCAGUGGAGCCGAGGAGUGCCGCCACACCCUGUACACCAUGCUCGACGGCAUCGUUGAGGAGCACCUGGAGAGGAUGGACGGCGGCGGAGGCCACGCCGAGGACCUGCUCGACGUGCUGCUCAAGAUCCAGAAGGAGGGUGGUCUCAAGUUUCCCAUCCACAUGGACGCCGUCAAAGCCAUCAUCUUGGACGUAUUCUCCGCGGGCAGUGAAACAACAACUACGACAAUUGAGUGGGCCAUAUCAGAGCUUAUCAACAACCCGGUGGCCAUGCAGAAGGCGACAACUGAGGUGCGACAAGCCUUCCAUGCUAGUGGAACCGUGGCCGAGCACGCCCUAAGCGAGCUCCCAUACCUACGCUUGGUCAUCCGAGAGACGCUGCGGCUGCACCCGCCCCUGCCGUUGUUGUUUCGCGAGUGCCAGGAACCGUGCCAAGUGCAGGGAUACGACGUGCAGCGGGGCACGCAGGUGUUGGUCAAUGCUUGGUCUCUAGGCCGCGAUGAGCGCUAUUGGCCCGACGCGCCUGAGGAGUUUCGGCCGGAACGGUUCGAGGAAGAAGCAGCAAAGGCAGAUUUUGGGGGUGGUGACUUUGCGUUCUUGCCGUUUGGCGCCGGCCGCAGGAUGUGCCCUGGGAUGGCGUUUGGCCUCGCCGGCGUCGAGCUCCCGCUUGCAAGCAUGCUCUUCCACUUUGACUGGAAGCCACCAGGGCCAGGCUCGGCGGAGCUUGACAUGACAGAGACGUUCGGCCUCACCGCACGGCGGACGGACCAGCUCCCGCUGCGCCCUGUCCUUCGCGUACCUAUUCUCGGAGUCUAG
rnacentral:rRNA from 1 species